rnacentral:rRNA from 1 species
UACAGAGGGUGCAAGCGUUUAAUCGGAUUUACUGGGCGUAAAGCGUGCGUAGGCGGUUCGCUAAGUCGGUUGUGAAAUCCCUGGGCUUAACCUGGGAACUGCAGUCGAUACUGGCGAACUAGAAUGCGGUAGAGGGUGGCGGAACUCCGGGUGUAGCGGUGAAAUGCGUAGAUAUCCGAAAAGAACACCGGUGGCGAAGGCGGUGGUCUGGGCCUGAACUGACGCUGAGGAGCGAAAAGCCAGGGGGAGCAAACAGGAU